rnacentral:rRNA from 1 species
GCCUGUUUAUCAAAAACAUCGCUCCUCGUGAACUAAAAAUGAGGAGUCGGACCUGCCCGGUGAAAAUUUUUAACGGCCGCGGUACUCUGACCGUGCAAAGGUAGCAUAAUCAUUUGCCUUAUAAUUGAAGGCUAGUAUGAAUGGUUUGACGAGAAUACAGCUGUCUCUUUAUAAUUACAAAAAAAUUUAUAUUUAGGUGAAGAAGCCUAAAUCUUAUUAAAAGACAAGAAGACCCUGUCGAGCUUUAAAGAAAUUAGCAGAGAAAAUCAAGUUAAAAUUAUAAGCAUUAACUGUUAAAAAUUUUGGUUGGGGCGACCAAGGAACAAACAAAGCUUCCUUAAUUGAAUAAAAUUGUAACUUACCAGCAUUGAUCCAAUAUUAUUGAUUAAUGAAAUUAGUUACCGCAGGGAUAACAGCAUUAUCUUUUUUAAGAGCUCUAAUCGAAAAAAAGGUUUGUGACCUCGAUGUUGGACCAGAAUAUCCCAAAGGUGUAGCAGCCUUUAAAGGUUGGUCUGUUCGACCAUUAAAAUUCUACGUGAUCUGAGUUCA